GGGCGUGCUUAGAACCCCCAGGGUUGGCGUGUUAAUAGUUGUGCUUUUGGCCAGGUACAAUGGUUAGUGAAUC
rnacentral:ncRNA from 1 species